rnacentral:misc_RNA from 1 species
UUUCUGCUUGCAGGAAACCCA